AGACUAAGUUUCCCAUUCACCCGUUCAGUUAAGUGUGGAAAGUGACUAAGUUCUGAAAAAAGAGAUUAAAAACAUCCUUUCAAAUGCCGAGAAUGCAGUCGCGAUGGCUAGAAUUCAAGCAAUUGUCUUGCACCAUGUGAUAAAAGGAGGGGCAGCCUGCUAUAAGCAGUGGCAGCAAGAUGGCAUCUCCCACCGAGAGACACUUGUACCACUUAGAGAUGAGAAAGAUGCACUAACUAAGGUGGGGGGUGAGACAAGAGAAGAGUUGGAUCCAUGCCCCCUACCUGGCUCUCCAGGAGAUUGACUGAAACAAAAACAACCCAGAUUUUGGAGUGAUGUCCAGACUUGAACCCACAGCUUUGCAUCAACUUUUCUGAACCUCUGUGUCCUCAUCGUGAAUGUUGUUAUAAUAGUCAACUUUCAAAGUUGUAAAGAUCAAACAGGAUAAUUUAGGAAAAAAGUGCUUGGUUAACUUACCUUGGGAAACGAUUAUUGUUUGACUUUAAGGUGCUUCCUGGAGUAGUCCCAGGCAGAAAUACAGACAGCCUGUGACCAGCUGUCAUCUCAGCCCUUCCCUGCAGCAGCUCUCCCAAAGAGAGUGGGAAGUCAUUAGCCCAUCCCUGAAGGUCAGACCAUCCAAGAACCUAGCCACUUUGUUGAUCUCAGAGGUAGCAUUUGGGUAAUGAGUUUUCAACACUUGUCUGAGACUUGGAAGCUUUAUGAAUUCACAUCUCAAAAAAGAACCGAGGCGUCGAUGACAAGCAUCUGUGAGACCAGCAGGAGGGGACUGGGCAUUUCUAAUCUGAGAAGAAACACUUUGGGGUGCAUAACACUGUGGCAAGCCUAAUCCAACAUUAAUUAGAAGUUAAUGAUUUUACAAGAUCAUCCAAGGGUUUCAGCCGUCUGUAAUCAUGACAUGCUCAUUUUAGAGUAAUGUUUUUCUCUAAAAUUUUCUGACACUUUCUCCCCAAACCUUUUUAUCUCUUCCGUAUCUCACAUACCUUCACUUUCAACUCCUUCUUAGUAUCAUAUCCAAGAUUCUUUGGAAUACCUGAUGUCAGUUCUUGAUAAUGUUAAGCAACUCAGACAAAUUAAAAAUUGUCACUCGAA